rnacentral:tRNA from 1 species
GCGCCGAUCGUAUAGUGGUAAGCCUACAUAGCCUAGAACCUUGCGACGCGGGUUCAAUUCCCGCUCGGCGCA